rnacentral:rRNA from 1 species
GACGAACGCUGGCGGCGUGCUUAACACAUGCAAGUCGAACGGAAAGGCUCCAGCUUGCUGGAGUGCUCGAGUGGCGAACGGGUGAGUAACACGUGGGCAAUCUGCCCUGCACUCUGGGAUAAGCCUGGGAAACUGGGUCUAAUACCGGAUAGGACCUUUCUCCUCAUGGGGUUUGGUGGAAAGUUUUUCGGUGCAGGAUGAGCCCGCGGCCUAUCAGCUUGUUGGUGGGGUAAUGGCCUACCAAGGCGACGACGGGUAGCCGGCCUGAGAGGGUGAUCGGCCACAUUGGGACUGAGAUACGGCCCAGACUCCUACGGGAGGCAGCAGUGGGGAAUAUUGCACAAUGGGCGAAAGCCUGAUGCAGCGACGCCGCGUGAGGGAUGACGGCCUUCGGGUUGUAAACCCCUUUCAGUAGGGACGAAGCGCAAGUGACGGUACCUGCAGAAGAAGCACCGGCUAACUACGUG